rnacentral:rRNA from 1 species
GUCGAGAAUCUUUCACAAUGGGGGCAACCCUGAUGGAGCGACGCCGCGUGGAGGAUAAGGUCUUCGGAUUGUAAACUCCUGUCAUGCGUGAACAAGGUUGCUUGGAUAAUACCUGAGCAAAUUGAUGGUAGCGCAAGAGGAAGAGACGGCUAACUCUGUGCCAGCAGCCGCGGUAAUACAGAGGUCUCAAGCGUUGUUCGGAAUCACUGGGCGUAAAGGGUGCGUAGGUGGCGUGGCAAGUCAGAUGUGAAAGCCCGGGGCUCAACCUCGGAACUGCAUCCGAUACUGCCAUGCUAGAGUACUGGAGGGGUGACUAUAAUUCUCGGUGUAGCAGUGAAAUGCGUAGAUAUCGAGAGGAAUACCAAAGGCGUAGGCAGGUCACUGGACAGUUACUGACACUGAGGCACGAAGGCCAGGGGAGCGAACGGGAUUAGAAACCCCAGUAGUCC